CGCUCCGCAACGCUCGCCCCCCGCCCGCAACGGACGAGGGGGGUGGAGCUUCGCGGGCGCGGGAGCCAAUGAGAGCCCUCCAGCGGCCGCAUGCGGGUGACGACACCGGCGUUUGCGCCAGUAAAUCUCUCUCAGAGCACGAUAAGGUAUGCCAGCAGCGUGUUGCUGCUCUAAUCCUCCCUGUUCUGUUCAACAAGGCAAAAGGCAGUGGUCGAUUUCUCCCCACACCCUCAUUCUCACCCAGGCAGAGGAAACCAUGUUGUCUGCGCUGUUUUAAGGUGACAUCGGUUUCUCCACAGAGCAGAAUCCGGCCUCCACAGCAUCUCCAGCCCUACUUUUUAAUCCAUCCUAAGAUUUUUCUUGUCCAUAAUCGGUGCUAAGCCGCCAAGUGACACCCCUUGGUAUGUCAGCGCUGCUCGCUGCAUGCUCUCAGCGCGACUGACUUCAGUGGAAAGGAAACGGAGGCUCUGAACGGUGGAAAACCGGGGCUGUUCAGCGUCCUUGGGGAUCAAGCGAGCAGAUGGACGACCGCAAACAUUCAGCUGGUCUCAGCGCCUUAGGCUGAAAGCUGAUCAGAGGUCAUAAAUCACGUAAGGUCAGGCUCUAGCAGGAGCGCUGUGAAUUGCAUCAAAUGUUUACAUGGCAUAAAAUGCUGAGCGGAAAAGUCAGAGGGAGUCGCUAGGAGGAGGGCUACACGAAACUGGUAUCCUGGCCAGCCUCCGUGACCCUAUACAGUGGGAAAAGGGGCAAAGGAACUUCUAUAAUCAGGGAUUUCAGUAAAGAAGAUGGCUGAUGAUGGGAGACCUCUGUGCAAAACACGCCCAGGGAAAGAAGGCUGAAGCACUGCAAGAGAAAUCAACCACAGUUAUGUUUAGUUACACUAAAUUCCGCCUACAUCUCCCUGACCGGAGAUUCCUGUUAGCUAGUUAAAAAUGUUUAUCUGCAGAGAAGAUCUAAACCGUCUGAACACAGCUCUUCAAGGUUUCAUUGUCAUCUCACACCCAGUUCUGGAGAUUAACUGAAACUCAGCGGCUGGUUCAGAAGUAAGGUCGCAGAUGGGGGAGUGCAGUGUCACUGGAGUUUUUUAUCUGUGCUGUGUCUGUGCUGGCACUAUUUACCAUACUAGCUUGAAGCAUCUACAUCCUCAGCCAAAAUAUCUCAGGUGAAAUAGCUGCAUGGAAGUCAAAAUGCCAUUUUACUUCAGUACACCCAAGGUUUCACAUAUUUCAUACCAUGUCACAUAAUUCAGACUGAAAAAAUACCCAGGAAAAAGACCAG